AGUGGGGAAUAUUGCACAAUGGGCGCAAGCCUGAUGCAGCAACGCCGCGUGAGCGAUGAAGGCCUUCGGGUCGUAAAGCUCUGUCCUCAAGGAAGAAUAAAUGACGGUACUUGAGGAGGAAGCCCCCGGCUAACUACGUGCCAGCAGCCGCGGUAAUACGUAGGGGCAAGCGUUAUCCGGAAUCACUGGGCGUAAAGGGUGCGUAGGCGGUUUUUCAAGUCAGAAGUGAAAGGCUAUGGCUCAACCAUAGUAAGCUUUUGAAACUGUUAAACUUGAGUGCAGGAGAGGAAAGUGGAAUUCCUAGUGUAGAGGUGAAAUUCGUAGAUAUUAGGAGGAACACCAGUGGCGAAGGCGACUUUCUGGACUGUAACUGACGCUGAGGCACGAAAGCGUGGGGAGCGAACAGGAUUAGAUACCCUGGUAG
rnacentral:rRNA from 1 species